UUGUUUUUGGCCCACAGGAUUGGGCUUGCUUGGCCUGCAACUCCAUUUCUUGUGCUAGAUUUCUUUAUUAGGUGGUGGCGGUGGUUGUGAUGAUGGUGGCUGUGCGGGUGGUGGUGCUGGUGCUGGUUGUGCUGGCGUUUGCUUGGUUCUGAAGGCCUAGCUGGACUACAAAUUGGCUUUGGCAUUAGUGUCAGAUGGGCUCUGGAUGGGAAACAUACUAAUAGAUCUGUGGAGGGAGGCCCUUUGCCUUCUCUGCUUUUCAUUUUGUUUUCUUCUUCCUCUUGCUCCUCUAUUUGCUCUUCUUAUUGCUAGUUACUAUGCUUUAGAUCUUGUGGUUGAUGAACUGUAUAUGCGAAAUUUGAUGCUUGGGGCUUUGAGUAGUGCUUUGGUUUGAUGAGAUUUAAAAUAAAUGU
rnacentral:lncRNA from 1 species